rnacentral:rRNA from 1 species
UACGUAGGGAGCGAGCGUUGUCCGGAAUCAUUGGGCGUAAAGCGCGCGUAGGCUGCCCGAUAAGUCCGCUCUGAAAGUCCAGGGCUCAACCCUGGAAAGCGGGUGGAUACUGCCGGGCUAGAAUCCGGAAGAGGCGAGUGGAAUUCCUGGUGUAGCGGUGGAAUGCGCAGAUAUCGGGAAGAACACCCGUGGCGAAGGCGGCUCUCUGGGACGGUACUGACGCUGAGACGCGAAAGCGUGGGGAGCGAACAGG